UUGAACGCUGGCGGCAGGCCUAACACAUGCAAGUCGAACGGUAACAGGAAGAAGCUUGCUUCUUUGCUGACGAGUGGCGGACGGGUGAGUAAUGUCUGGGAAACUGCCUGAUGGAGGGGGAUAACUACUGGAAACGGUAGCUAAUACCGCAUAAUGUCGCAAGACCAAAGAGGGGGACCUUCGGGCCUCUUGCCAUCGGAUGUGCCCAGAUGGGAUUAGCUAGUAGGUGGGGUAACGGCUCACCUAGGCGACGAUCCCUAGCUGGUCUGAGAGGAUGACCAGCCACACUGGAACUGAGACACGGUCCAGACUCCUACGGGAGGCAGCAGUGGGGAAUAUUGCACAAUGGGCGCAAGCCUGAUGCAGCCAUGCCGCGUGUAUGAAGAAGGCCUUCGGGUUGUAAAGUACUUUCAGCGGGGAGGAAGGGAGUAAAGUUAAUACCUUUGCUCAUUGACGUUACCCGCAGAAGAAGCACCGGCUAACUCCGUGCCAGCAGCCGCGGUAAUACGGAGGGUGCAAGCGAUAAUCGGAAUUACUGGGCGUAAAGCGCACGCAGGCGGUUUGUUAAGUCAGAUGUGAAAUCCCCGGGCUCAACCUGGGAACUGCAUCUGAUACUGGCAAGCUUGAGUCUCGUAGAGGGGGGUAGAAUUCCAGGUGUAGCGGUGAAAUGCGUAGAGAUCUGGAGGAAUACCGGUGGCGAAGGCGGCCCCCUGGACGAAGACUGACGCUCAGGUGCGAAAGCGUGGGGAGCAAACAGGAUUAGAUACCCUGGUAGUCCACGCCGUAAACGAUGUCGACUUGGAGGUUGUGCCCUUGAGGCGUGGCUUCCGGAGCUAACGCGUUAAGUCGACCGCCUGGGGAGUACGGCCGCAAGGUUAAAACUCAAAUGAAUUGACGGGGGCCCGCACAAGCGGUGGAGCAUGUGGUUUAAUUCGAUGCAACGCGAAGAACCUUACCUGGUCUUGACAUCCACAGAACUUUCCAGAGAUGGAUUGGUGCCUUCGGGAACUGUGAGACAGGUGCUGCAUGGCUGUCGUCAGCUCGUGUUGUGAAAUGUUGGGUUAAGUCCCGCAACGAGCGCAACCCUUAUCCUUUGUUGCCAGCGGUCCGGCCGGGAACUCAAAGGAGACUGCCAGUGAUAAACUGGAGGAAGGUGGGGAUGACGUCAAGUCAUCAUGGCCCUUACGACCAGGGCUACACACGUGCUACAAUGGCGCAUACAAAGAGAAGCGACCUCGCGAGAGCAAGCGGACCUCAUAAAGUGCGUCGUAGUCCGGAUUGGAGUCUGCAACUCGACUCCAUGAAGUCGGAAUCGCUAGUAAUCGUGGAUCAGAAUGCCACGGUGAAUACGUUCCCGGGCCUUGUACACACCGCCCGUCACACCAUGGGAGUGGGUUGCAAAAGAAGUAGGUAGCUUAACCUUCGGGAGGGCGCUUACCACUUUGUGAUUCAUGACUGGGGUG
rnacentral:rRNA from 1 species